rnacentral:lncRNA from 1 species
ACGUCUUCUUGAAUAUGAAUUCUUCAUUCGGACUAUUCUUCAAUUAACCCGUGAACGCACAAAUUUUUUUUACGAACCUGAGGACAAACGCAAACACAUAUAACUCCAUUAACCUUUUAAGCAAAUAACUCAAAUCAGACUAAACCACUAAAUCGAUCUUGACCAUCAAACAAUAACUUUUCAAAGAAAUCAUUUCUUCUUGAUAUAAAGGAUAACCCAGACCUACUAUUUAUCACACUUCUUCCGAAUACAAUCAAUGAUCUUUGAAAUUUUUUUUUGCAUAACUCAAAUGAAGCAUAACAAUCCCAUUUUCAACUCAUUGACAUUUAUCAAGAUUACCUGGGAAUGAUAAUUGAUAUACAAAUUUGAGCUCGAUUUUUCACCGUUUACACUUUUGCAGAUGUCAAGCCUCUUUCAAGAAACUAGAAAGGAUUAUAUAAUAAAGCUAUCUCAACUAUUAAUUAUCGAAGCGUUGAACUAUACUAAGGCCACUUCCAUCAUAUAAGAAUCAUAAUGACAUAAUAAGACCAACGUCUGAACCGUAUAAAUAGGUAAAAUCCCAGCUGUUAAUAAUGCCUUUUGAACACAAAAGAAAAUCAAAUAUGGUUUCCUCAGCAACCAAUACAGAAACACAACCUCUAUAAUCUGAUGACGGUACCACUAUACUCCCGUGAUCAAACCAAAAAUUAUAAUCAUAAUAGAUAUAAUCAUCUUCGUUAGAAGAAUAUCUCUUGCAAUUAAUUACAUAGAAUCAUAGUAAAAUCAAGGUAGCGAAAUCUCAGAAUAUAGAGUUAUACAGAAUUUCUAAAAAUUAUAACCCAUAUAGAAUGAUAAAGAUCUCGAUGAUAUCCCAAGAAAUUUCUAGAAGGAAGAACAACACUCAUAAACGUUGAAAUUAACGAUGACAAAAGUAAUAUAAUCUUCAUAUAUAUAUUCAACAGAACAAUAACCAGUAGAAACAUAAUACUAGCAAUCAUACAAAUUUUACCGUCGACUUUUCUAUCAACACAAUGGAAUAGAAUACGAGAAAAAAAUAGAGUAAUGCCGAUCAUAAACCAUAUAGACCACAAUACUUUCGUCUAACAGUAUGUUUAACUAACGUUCUCAUACGAUAAGGAUUCCUUAUGAAAUUAAACAGUCACAUAUACUUCUGAGAAUAAAUGUACACAUAGAAUGCUCAGAAGAAACCAUAAUAACUUUUCGACUAUAACCACAAAACUCAACUAUCAUUUCAAUUCAAACAUUAUUCCAUUGUCUAAUUCUGUCAUCACUAAUUUCACAUUAUCCCAUCACUAAUAGAAAUCAAUUCAGAAGAACUUCCAGUUAAUACAUUCUUUAGAUAUCAUACCUGAAUAUUUUGUUUCUUAGAAGUCAACUUCUUCUUUAACAAUGACUUUGCACAAUCUGCAUAACUUUCAAUACAAUCUGAUUCUUUUCUAGUGUUGUCCAUACUUGCUGACUCAUUCUCUUAUCUAACUACUGUAUUAAUCCUUCAACCACAGAACUCUGUAAUUCCACACUUGUGAGCUUAUUUAAUCUAAAUGUUACUGAUUUCAUUGUAAUACCUUACUAAUGAGGGGGUGAGGGUCGUAAAGCCUCAACUUUAACUCUCACAUAUACAUGCACAUACUAUAACAUUUAUUAAUAACACAAUAUUAUGAACUUUUAUUCAUUCCUUUAUGAGUUUCAACUCAACAUAAUCACAUUUUCACUUAAACAUUUGAGUACCACUUUCUGCUCUAUCAGAAUUAGCUCGGUUGGAAAACACAUCUGUCAAAUUAAAAUAACUCUCGUCAAAAUCGAGAGAUAUCACACUAUCACAGGUUAAAUAUGAAAUGUAUAGCUAGACUCACAUAUGCUACAUUAGUCCUAGAAUCGACUAAAUCGUAGCUCUGAUACCAAUAAAAUGUAACACCCUUAACCCGUAUCCAUCACUAAAACAGGGUUAUGGAGCAUUACCAUACCUAUCGGACAAUUUACAAUCAAUAUGAAAACCAACACAUUUACACAUUCAAACCUAUUUAAAACAUGCCUUUUAUAAGUAAAUACUCAUCAUAUACCAAAUGACCAAAUGGUCAUCUUGAAUCAUCACCAAAACCUUUAUCAAACAGACUCAAGCCUAUACAUGCCAUAUAACCAAUAUCACAAAGCUUAUAAAUACCAAACCAUAGCUGGAUAGUGUGAUGAGAUCUCUGACGACUUCCAACCCGAGCAAGCCUCUGAAACUCUAUAAACAUAGGAAAAAAAACAAAGUAAGCUAUAAAGCUUAGUAAGCUCGUAUGGAAAUAAACUCAUGUUAUUAACUAACAGCAUUAAAAACAAUUAUUCAAAAUAUGAUAUAAUUCAUAUUUUUUUACACCAUUCUAUUUCAAAUUCAUGCACAUAGUUAAUCCAUAUUUUCAUGAGUUUAUUCAUUCAAAACACGUAUAGUUUGAAUACUUCUUAUCAUUUCAUUCACAUUUUCAUAUGCAUAAGCAAUUAUAUAUAUACUUUAUUUAAUUCAAUAUUCAUUAUAUACCAAAUUACCUUCAUUUAAUUAUCAUUUAGGUUCUGUACGUAUCUAUAUCACUUAAUUCGAUUGUACUUUCAUUCUCGUCUUGACCCUGCCCGUUGAACCAUUCGAAAUUGUUAAGGAUACUCAGAAUUCAUUAUACCUCGUACAAUGCCAUAUCCCAGACAAGGUCUUAUACGAAAUCAUAUAAUGAUGCCAAUGUCCCAGACAUGGACUUAAACGUAAUCACAGUACAAUGCCAAUGUCCCAGACAUGGUCUUACAUGUUAUCACAUAUCAAUGCCACUGUCCCAGACAGGGUCUUAUACGAAAUCAUAUAAUGAUGCCAAUGUCCUAGACAUGGUCUUAUACGUAAUCACAAUACAAUGCCAAUGUCCCAGACAUGGUCUUACAUGUUAUCACAUAUCGAUGCCACUGUCCCAGACAGGGUCUUAUACAAAAUCAUAUAACAAUGCCAAUGUCCCAGACAUGGUCUUAUACAUAAUCACAGUACAAUGCCAAUGUCCUAGACAUGGUCUUACAUGUUAUCACAUAUCGGUAACCCUAAAGUCAUGGCAUUUGUAUUAUAUUCUAUUCCUAAGGUUCAUACGGGACAUUUGGACGUCGUAACUCAGUCGAUUUCAGCUCGUAUUCAUGACCAUUCAUCAUUCAAUUCAAUUCAAUAAUAAUUAAGCAUUUAUAACAAAAUUUAAAUAUGUUACUAGAAUACGAACUUACCACGUUUGCUGUAAUGACGAAUUAGGUCGACUAAUCCGAUACUUUGUUUUCCCCCGUUCUAGUUCCGAAUCUCAUUUUUUUAUCAAUCUAUAUAAUAACAAAAUUUUCUUAUUAAAUCAUUAAUUCAUUCAAUUUAACAUAAUUUACACAUUUUGGCAAAAUUACACUUUUAACCACAUAAUUUCAAUAUUUCACAAUUUAAUCCCUAAUUUGCAUUUUCAUCAAAAAUCACUUUAUAAAACAUGAAAAUCUAUCAAAUAUUCAUAUUUCACCAUUAAACAUCAAAGAACACAUAAGCUCAUCAAUGGAAACUAUAUUUUGCGUAAAUAUCAACAAGCACUCAUUGUGUUCGAGGCUGUACGAGCCUUGAACGUCAUGUUUCAUUAGUUAAUUCAACAAAGGACAAAAACCAUUAAUUGCUCAUUGGCCAAUGACAGUUAAGAAAAUGUAUCAUUGAUUAGAACUGCGGUAUUGAAGCUCAGCGACAAUCUUCAUGCACCAUUUUGGGAUCAUAACAAGGGGAAGGGCAUGCUCACAAAUAAACAUAAUCGAGGUCUCACUAAAGAUAUUUCAUUUCUAUACACAUAAAUCAUGCAUCAUAAUUUAAAUUUUUACAUCAUUUCAUAUAUCCAAUACUCACCUAUAUUUUGCAUUAAAAUUUGAUAUCAAUGUCGUCGAUUUUCAUUUAAUUUACCAUACAAGAUCAUGCAACACGAUAGCUCAAUUUUAAGUACAUGACUUCUUGUCCAAUUUGUAACGGUACAACAACGACUCUAAUGUAUAGACGGGUUUGAAUAUCAUACACAUUUAAUCUUACUUAAACAAAACACUCCAGCGUAUUAAUUUCUAGCGUGCAUUUGGACAUGUUGAAUUCUAACAUGCGUUCGGACACUUAAAAAAAAAUCAGUAUACAUUCAAACAUUAAAUUUUCACUAGCUGACAGAAAAUAAUUUUCAGACAAUUUAGUUCCCUACAUCUUUUCAACAAAUGCUUGUUUCCUUAGCUUCAACCAAUAAUAAUGAGACAUUACUAAAACUGAAAUUUGGAAAUGUAAACCCUAAAUUAAACUGUUUUAAGCUCCAAAAUUUAAUACCUCUUCAAAAAUAAACCAAACAGAAAUGCAUGUUAAUUUCAACCAUAUUUAUAUUUUGCUUAUUUCCACAAAACAGGACAUUUAUCAACCAACAUUUUACCUUAAUUAGAACAGCAACAGAUCAAUUACACUAGGAUUUAUUGCACUAUAAAAUACGACAAUUACAUGCUGAAACUAUCAGCAUUCAACGACAGGUUUCAACACCAACUAUACAUUUAUUUAUCAACUCUUCUUCACUUCUAACACCAGUAUUUUGGUAACAAAUAACAUGUAUUUUUAACUACUAACUUUGCUUAACAGCCCUUAAAUUCGCGUUUUACCUGCAUGUAUUAAACACAUAAUAAACAUGGAAAAUUUUCAAGGUUUCAUUGCAAGGACUUACCGAACAGCAAC